CAUUCUUUCAUGAUUGAAACCAUACAAGAAAACUUGAAAAAUCUAAGAAAAGGUUCUCCAUACGUGGAAGAUGUAUACCACCAAAUUUGGAGUGACAUUCGACGCGGUUCUUGCUGACCUGGAGGUAUGCAAAUCCAUUUUUAUUGGUUAAUGUACCGUUCAUGUGUUUAAACUUCUGGCUAUUAGUUGAUCACUACUUUUUACGUUUAUGUUCACAGGGCACUAAUAUCCAAGCUUCAGUGAAAAAGGACUAGUGAAAAAGGAAUAGUGAAAAAGGAAUUGAUGAAUCGAUUCCAAAACAAGUUAAAAUUUUAACUAUACUUUGUUGCUUAUAGUAGUUAUAUGAAUUUCGACUAUAUGUCUUAUAUGUUUGUUUCAUUGUCUGUGUAAGUGAAAAUUUACGCAGCAACAACAGAGGAGGUGGACUUUAUUUUGACAAUAACGAAGACCACAAAACUGAAUAUUUUGAAAAAUAAAGUAGAUGAAGGAGACAUAUAUCUUCAUUGUUAGGCAAAUAACGAGAUUUAUAAGCAACGAUUAGAAUAGAUUCUUAGAAGAAUUAUAGAGAUGAAGUUGGGAAAAGCUAAGAAUUUGAGUGUUUCAUAAUUAUUGAAGAGAUAUGAUCCGAUCCUAAAGCUGAACUCCAUGUCUUAUCUUGAAUAUCACCAGCGAUUGAAGUCCAAAGCUUUGGAUCUCGGAUGAAUCGGAUCAUAGACAACUUCAGCGGGGGUUGUUGCGUCAACGAAGGCUUUCCAGGCUGCCAUGCAGGUUCAAAUCAAAAUCGAAACCAUUAGUCGAUCCAAACAAUCCCUUUUCGAAGUUCAAAUUCAUGACAUCUCUUAAAACUUUCAGAUGUACAAAAGCAAAAUUGAUUCCAGAGGAUCAAACAGAGAAAGGCUCCCUGCAUAGAUCAGAUUAUACUUAAACGAAGCUUUUGGGAGAGAAUUAGAGCUUGAUUUCGUCAUCACGAACCAAGCGACCGUGAAAGAUUUUGGUUAACCCACCAGCUAGCAAUAUAGAGAUCUCUCAUUAAGCGAUUAAUAUG
rnacentral:lncRNA from 1 species